rnacentral:misc_RNA from 1 species
UUUCCGUAGGUGAACCUGCGGAAGGAUCAUUCAUAAUAAAGUGUUUUAUGGCACUUUUUAAAAAUCUAUAUCCACCUUGUGUGCAAUGUUAGAUCUCGUCAAUCUUGGCGAGAUUUUUAUACAUCAACUCAUUCUUUAACUAAUUUGUCUGAAAAAUAUUAUGAAUACUUGAUUCAAAAUACAACUUUCAACAACGGAUCUCUUGGCUCUC